GCCCCAUGGCUCAGUGGUUAGAGCACCCGGGCUCGUAAACCGGGGGUCGAGAGUUCGAAUCUCUCUGGGGGCA
rnacentral:tRNA from 1 species